GGGUCAGUAGGUUGGUCGUGCCACCGGUACGUACUGGUCUCACUGAUUCCUCCUUCCUGAAGAACCGUAAUGCCAUUAAUUUGGUGUUGCGGGGAAACAGGACUGUUACUUUGAAAAAAUUAGAGUGUUUAAAGCAAGCUAACGCUUGAAUACAUUAGCAUGGAAUAAUGAAGUAGGACGAUCGAUCCUAUUUUGCUGGUUUCUAGGAUUGACGUA
rnacentral:rRNA from 1 species